rnacentral:misc_RNA from 1 species
AGUCGAUCGCUUUUAUUGCUUUAUCUUUUUGUUUUCGCUUCUCUUUCUCGCCUUCCCCCCCCCCACACACGCCGUUGUUUUCUUCACAAUGGCGGAGGCGAAGGUGGUGAAGGACCUGGCGGAGGUGUGCGCGCGUGGUGAAGAGACCUAUAGCGUAUGGACAACUGCGAAAGCUCUCGUGCAACGCCGCUACCUUUCGGCCAAGGCGCAGGGCACAUUCGAGGACUGCGGCAAACUGCUUGUUUCUCUGACGCAGGUGCUGCGGACGUACCUCCGCAUCGAUCUGGCACAGGAGCUGCUCCGUGACAUGCUCUUCCAAGUAAUGGAGCGCUUCUCUGCAAAGCAGGCGGCAGGCGCCACAGCGGCCAUUGUAAAGGACGGCGGCGCGCCUCAUUCCUCAUUUGACCUAGCUGCCGCUAACUUUUUGCAGCAUGUGUUCGACACACUCCUCUCCGCGACCACGCGCACCUACACGCUGAUGGGACCCAUGCCGCUCGUUGUAGAAUGGAACAGGGAUGCAGACAGUGGAGGCGUGGAUGCCGUUGUGGCGCAGUCGAAGCACGCCGCGUCAUGGGCCGAGGAUGUAGUUCUCGAGUUUGCCGCUCGCGCGGCGGACUUUCUUUCACAGCGUCUCCAGAGCGCUGAUGUAUUGUCUCGUUGGGCACAGAAUCUGUUUGUGUCGUACGAGCAGCUACUUGCUCUCCGUCUGGCACUCCCGUCAUCGCCACCCUCCACGCCGCAAGACGGCAAAGCUGCCUCGACUGCUGCCCCAUCACCGUCGGUGCCCGUCCCGACGCUGGCUGCGCAGCUGCUUCGUAUGAGCAUCUUCAGUCGCGCCAGCAGAACUGGGAAAGAGUCUUCAGACAGCCCCAGCGCAGCAACGACACCAUUGACCGCCGCCGUGCACUGGCUCACCCAUUUCGCUCGUGAGCCGAACGCGGUCAAUCACCUCUUCGCCCAGUACGUGUACUUUGACAUUCUUGGCCGAGGCCAGCAGAGGAGCUCUACGACUAACACUGCACCGGGCAACAGUGGCGCCCCCGCGAAGAUGCCGCUUGAGCGCGUGAAUGCGGCACUGGAGGAGAGGUGCGCGCUGACUCGUCGGGAGGCGAUCUAUAUGGCACGCGCUGCAGUGGAGGCGUACUGGCAAGCGUUUCCGCUUGUGCUGAAGCAGACCUCUUCGGCCAGCUCGCGGCAGCUGUCCAGCUGCGUGGAAGAGAGCGGCAAAGAGGACGCAAACGUCGACCCCCAAUACGUGCACCUCUACCGUUGGACGUGGUUCCUCGACUCGCUCACGCUCACCUUCGCGUACAGCGGAAGCGCGAGUGCGGGUGCAAAUGAAGACGCGGCGGCGCAGCAGCGGGAGAGGCAGAAGCACGUGUGCGCGCAGCUGCUGGAGACAUACGCUGACGUUGCCGCUGAGCUCCCAGGGUUAAAGUGGAAAGAGUUGAUUGCUGCCUACAUUGGCCCAUGAAAAAGGCGGUUUGGGCCUAGGGAAGGUGGCCUGCAAGAGAUUGAGCGCAGCAGCGGUGGUUGAUGCGACGCGGGGUCUUCAGCGUUGCGAUUCGCUUCUCCGCCAUCUGCCUCCUUUCGCGUUUAUUCUGCUGUACUUCACUUCACCUGUAAGAGGGUGCCCUUCCACGAGCAUCUGGUGCGCUUUUUUGUUUCAUUUUCGAAACUGAGCCGCUGCUGCUCUCUGUGGGUGUUAUCAGCCCCCUGCCUCUUUUUGUUUUGUUCAUAGUGUCCGCGACGUUUCCUUCGUGCGGGCAUUCAAACACGUAUUCUAACCCUUUCCUCUCGAUGCGCAGGGGUGUGCGUUUCUUCACCUCUGCGCUUCCUACUUUGUGGCGUAACGUGGCGCGUUCCCUUUCUGUUGCCUUUCUUCUUCGUUUCCCUUUGCCAUUUUUUUAGCGCCUGGCGGCAUCACCUCUCCUCUGGUCCCGCGCACGCACACGCUCAUCGCAUGCAAUGUGCUCACCUGCUUCGUCGCUGUUGCUAUGAAGCACCAU